rnacentral:miRNA from 1 species
GCGAACACAUUCCAGCCAAUCAGCAGCAGACUCUCCCUCCCAGACCCUCCCACCUGCUGGACAGCAUCCAUUUUACAUUCAUUAUGAAGCUGCAUUCUUAGUGAGCUGUCCAGGAGGUGGGAGGGUCUGGGAGGGAGGGUCUGCUGCUGAUUGGAUGGAAUGUGUCUG